rnacentral:rRNA from 1 species
CUAACAAGGAUUCCCCUAGUAACGGCGAGUGAAGCGGGAUGAGCUCAAAUUUGUAAUCUGGCGGCCUCUGGUCGUCCGAGUUGUAGUCUGGAGAAGCGUUUUCCGCGUCGGACCGUGUACAAGUCCCUUGGAACAGGGCGUCGUAGAGGGUGAGAAUCCCGUCUUUGACACGGACUGCCGAUGCUAUGUGAUGCGCUCUCGAAGAGUCGAGUUGUUUGGGAAUGCAGCUCAAAACGGGUGGUAAAUUCCAUCUAAAGCUAAAUAUUGGCGAAAGACCGAUAGCGAACAAGUACCGUGAGGGAAAGAUGAAAAGCACUUUGGAAAGAGAGUUAAACAGUACGUGAAAUUGUUGAAAGGGAAACGCUUGAAGUCAGUCGCGUCUCUCGGGACUCAGCCUUGCUUUUGCUUGGUGUACUUCCCGGGGUGACGGGCCAGCAUCGAUUUUGACCGUCGGAGAAAGGCUUUGGGAAUGUGGCACCCUCGGGUGUGUUAUAGCCCUCGGUCGUAUGUGACGGUUGGGAUCGAGGACCGCAGCACGCCUUCACUGGCCGGGGUUCGCCCACGUAACGUGCUUAGGAUGCUGGCGUAAUGGCUUUAAGCG